AUCUGUUGCCAUGGCAACGGCCAUACAUUCCCAGGAUACCUUUGGUUCACCUCCCGCCUUCACCUGGGAGCAGUCUUAUGGUUCCUCUUUGGAGUUGAAAGGGGUUAAUAUCCACUUUGGCCUUCAACAGAUGAAAUGGAGGAGAGACAGAGUAAUGUCCAAGCUGAGGGGCAGCCAAUAAGCUCCCAACAGUCACUUCUGACGUGGAGCAUCUACACCGGCAGCUUUGGGAUCAAUCCACUUUCAAGUCCUUUGAGCAGCUGUUUGCAUGCAGCCAACUAAUGAAGCUCUUUGAGCGCUCCGUUAUUAAUGGGAUGAAGCCAGAGAGGGAAUGAAGAAAGAGUGGACCAAAGAAGAGACAUUCUGAAGAGAAGCCUCCCUUUCCCUAGCCACUUGUGGAAAUCCAUUUCAGCUCAACUGGGUCCAAUUGUGAGUUUUGGCCUUGGGCAAAAUUCUUAUUUGCAGUCAAUAAAUUAAUGGCUGACACCUUGAAACGGGGCUGGCUAACUGAA